rnacentral:lncRNA from 1 species
UAACCCAAAACAGAAAAAAUCCUAAAAUAUCCCCUUUUUAAACACCUCACCCAAAAACAUAAAAAAAAAAAAAAACUCUUUUCAAAUUUUUACUUAAUUAACUUAAUUUUGUAGCUAUUUAUUCUUAUAUUCUUAAGAAAUAUGAGUAUUUAUACUAAUAACAUAAAUCUUGAGAGAAAAAAAUUUAAUUUAAUAGCCGAAUUUUUUUUUUCGAAUUUUUAAUUGAUGAACGUAUAAUAUCCGUAUAAAUCACGUAUCCGAAUAAUUGACUAAUCUGUUUUUUAGCCGUAUUUUUUAACGAAUUUAAAAGUUAGAAAACGAAUUUUAUCCGUAUUAUACCCGUACUGAAUUUUUGCCGAAUCCGAAUUAACUAACUAUGGUCCAAUUUACACAAUAGAUAACCCAAUUUGAUUCCUAAAAAUGCUAGCUUUUUUGAAAAAAAAAAUCUAGAUUUUCUAAAAAACUACUACUUUCAUUUGCCCAAAAAAAACACAAUAAAAAAUAAAAAAUAGUUUUUCAAAAAAUCUAAAAAAAAUUCUUACAAAAACAGAUAUCUAGAUUACAUUUCCGCUCUUCAAACUAUAUGACGAGGCGUGUGACAUUUUGUUUUCCAAACUUUAAUUUAUUAUAAUAUAUGGAUAAAAUUUUCUAAACAGUUGCAACCAAAUUUAUAAUCUUAUUUAGUUGAUUAAAUAUUAAUGUCAAUAAUAAUCAGUACUUAGUCAAUUAAACUGAGUUGCAAGAAUUAGCCACAUGAAUUUAAAAGUUCUUACUAAAAAUUAUGAUAAAUUAAAAUUUUAGAGCGGAAUAUCGCGGCUCAUAGUUUGAUCAUAGUUAGUUAAUUCGGAUUCAGCAAAAAUUCGGUACGGAUAUAAUACGUAUAAAAUUUGUUUUUAAAAUUUUAAAUUCGUUGAAAAAUUCGGCUUAAAAAACGGAUUCGGUAUAAAGUAUAAAAUAUAAGAUAUAAAAUAUAAAAUAAUUUAUAUUUAAAAAUAUAAAUUAUAAAUUUUUUAUUCAUAUUUUCAAUAAUUCGCGAAUAAUUUGGCUGGCCCAAAAAUUUGCGAAUAAUUCACUUUCUUUGGGAAAAAUUCGUAAACAGACCGCUUAAUUCAGAUUUUCAACAAUUUGUGAAUAAUUCGCGAAUUAACUAACUAGGAAUUUGAUCACCAAAAGUAUAAUAUAGCUACCAAAGAUAGU